GACGAACGCUGGCGGCGUGCUUAACACAUGCAAGUCGAACGGAAAGGCCUAGCUUGCUGGGUACUCGAGUGGCGAACGGGUGAGUAACACGUGGGUGAUCUGCCCCUGACUUUGGGAUAAGCCUGGGAAACUGGGUCUAAUACCGGAUAUUCAUUUUUCUUCGCCUGGGGAUUUGUGGAAAGCUUUUGCGGUUGGGGAUGGGCCCGCGGGCUAUCAGCUUGUUGGUGGGGUAAUGGCCUACCAAGGCGACGACGGGUAGCCGACAUGAGAGGGUGAUCGGCCACACUGGGACUGAGACACGGCCCAGACGCCUACGGGAGGCAGCAGUGGGGAAUAUUGCACAAUGGGCGCAAGCCUGAUGCAGCGACGCCGCGUGCGGGAUGACGUCCUUCGGGUUGUAAACCUCUUUCAGCUCCGACGAAGCGCAAGUGACGGUAGGAGCAGAAGAAGCACCGGCCAACUACGUG
rnacentral:rRNA from 1 species